rnacentral:rRNA from 1 species
CAAAUGAAUUGACGGGGCCGCACAAGCGGUGGAGCAUGUGGUUAAUUCGAAGCAACGCGAAGAACCUUACCAGGUCUUGACAUCCCUGACAACCCGAGAGAUCGGGCGUUCCCCCUUCGGGGGACAGGGUGACAGGUGGUGCAUGGUUGUCGUCAGCUCGUGUCGUGAGAUGUUGGGUUAAGUCCCGCAACGAGCGCAACCCUCGACCUUAGUUGCCAGCAUUCAGUUGGGCACUCUAAGGUGACUGCCGGCUAAAAGUCGGAGGAAGGUGGGGAUGACGUCAAAUCAUCAUGCCCCUUAUGACCUGGGCUACACACGUGCUACAAUGGGCGGUACAAAGGGUCGCGAACCCGCGAGGGGGAGCCAAUCCCAAAAAGCCGCUCUCAGUUCGGAUUGCAGGCUGCAACUCGCCUGCAUGAAGCCGGAAUCGCUAGUAAUCGCGGGUCAGCAUGCCGCGGUGAAUACGUUCCCGGGCCUU